AAAUUAGUGUGUGUUCAAAGAAAUUCUCCAUUGUUCUCUUAGUUAUUACUUUGUGAGUUUGUGUCCCACUGAUAUCAAAUUGGUAUCAGAGCAGGUUAGGUCCUGCAAGUGUCAGUGUCAAAAAUAGUCUAAGUGUGUGAGGAACAAAAGAGUUCUCAUUGUGUCGAAAUUAUUGUAAGCAUAUUCUGAGAAAGAUAUGUCAAACAAUAAUUUCAAUAUCGUUUGGUC
rnacentral:lncRNA from 1 species